rnacentral:rRNA from 1 species
UGCAGUCGAGGGGCAGCGCGGGUAGCAAUAUCUGGCGGCGACCGGCAAACGGGUGCGGAACACGUACGCAACCUUCCUUUAAGCGGUGAAUAGCCCAGGGAAACUUGGAUUAAUACACCAUAAUACUAUUGGUUGGCAUCAAUUGAUAGUUAAAGCUCCGGCACUUAAAGAUGGGCGUGCGGCUGAUUAGGUAGUUGGCGGGGUAAUGGCCCACCAAGCCUACGAUCAGUAACUGGUGUGAGAGCACGACCAGUCACACGGGCACUGAGACACGGGCCCGACUCCUACGGGAGGCAGCAGUAAGGAAUAUUGGUCAAUGGACGCAAGUCUGAACCAGCCAUGCCGCGUGGAGGAUGAAGGCCCUCUGGGUUGUAAACUUCUUUUAUCUGGGAAGAAACCGGACUUUUCCAAGGCCGUUGACGGUACCAGAUGAAUAAGCACCGGCUAACUCCGUGCCAGCAGCCGCGGUAAUACGGAGGGUGCAAGCGUUAUCCGGAUUCACUGGGUUUAAAGGGUGCGUAGGUGGGCAGGUAAGUCAGUGGUGAAAUCUCCGGGCUUAACCCGGAAACUGCCGUUGAUACUAUCUGUCUUGAAUGUAGUGGAGGUGAGCGGAAUAUGUCAUGUAGCGGUGAAAUGCUUAGAUAUGACAU